rnacentral:rRNA from 1 species
AGAGUUUGAUCCUGGCUCAGGACGAACGCUGGCGGCGUGCCUAACACAUGCAAGUCGUGCGGAAGGGCCUCUUCGGAGGUACUCGAGCGGCGAACGGGUGAGUAACACGUGAGUAACCUGCCUCUGGCUCUGGGAUAACCCUCGGAAACGGGGGCUAAUACUGGAUAUGACACCUGUCCGCAUGGGCUGGGUGUGGAAAGCCUUUGGGCGGCCAGAGAUGGGCUCGCGGCCUAUCAGCUUGUUGGUGGGGUAACGGCCUACCAAGGCGAUGACGGGUAGCCGGCCUGAGAGGGCGACCGGCCACACUGGGACUGAGACACGGCCCAGACUCCUACGGGAGGCAGCAGUGGGGAAUAUUGCGCAAUGGGCGAAAGCCUGACGCAGCGACGCCGCGUGAGGGAUGAAGGCCUUCGGGUUGUAAACCUCUUUCAGCCCUGACGAAGCGCGAGUGACGGUAGGGGCAGAAGAAGCGCCGGCUAACUACGUGCCAGCAGCCGCGGUAAGACGUAGGGCGCAAGCGUUGUCCGGAUUUAUUGGGCGUAAAGAGCUCGUAGGCGGUCUGUCGCGUCGGUUGUUAAAUCCCGGGGCUUAACUCCGGGUUGCUGCCGAUACGGGCAGACUUGAGGCAGGUAGGGGAGAGUGGAAUUCCUGGUGUAGCGGUGAAAUGCGCAGAUAUCAGGAGGAACACCGGUGGCGAAGGCGGCUCUCUGGGCCUGUCCUGACGCUGAGGAGCGAAAGCGUGGGGAGCGAACAGGAUUAGAUACCCUGGUAGUCCACGCCGUAAACGUUGGGCGCUAGGUGUGGGGGACUCUCCUGUCUUCCGUGCCGUAGCUAACGCAUUAAGCGCCCCGCCUGGGGAGUACGGCCGCAAGGCUAAAACUCAAAUGAAUUGACGG